AGUUAAGUGACUAAGCGUACACGGUGGAUGCCUUGGCAAUCAGAGGCGAAGAAGGACGUGCUAAUCUGCGAAAAGCGUGGGGGAGCUGAUAAGGAGCGCAAAUCCCACGAUGUCCGAAUGGGGAAACCCGAUAGGUGAAGAAUCUAUCAUUGUUGUCUGAAUUCAUAGGGCAACAAGGCAAACCGGGAGAACUGAAACAUCUAAGUACCCCGAGGAAAAGAAAUCAACCGAGAUUCUGCGAGUAGCGGCGAGCGAAAGCGGAGGAGCCAGCGAGUGAUAGCAUAAGUUUUAGGAGAAUUGUCUGGGAAGGCAAGCGAGAGAGGGUGACAGCCCCGUAUCCGAAAAGACGGAUGUGGUACUAAGCACGCGAGAAGUAGGGCGGGACACGAGGAAUCCUGUUUGAAGAAGGGGGGACCAUCCUCCAAGGCUAAAUACUCCUGAUUGACCGAUAGUGGACCAGUACCGUGAGGGAAAGGCGAAAAGAACCCCGGGAGGGGAGUGAAAGAGAACCUGAAACCGUGUACGUACAAGCAGUGGGAGCCUGAAAGGGUGACUGCGUACCUUUUGUAUAAUGGGUCAGCGACUUAUAUUUUGUAGCGAGGUUAACCGGAUAGGGGAGCCGAAGGGAAACCGAGUCUUAACUGGGCGGUUAGUUGCAAGAUAUAGACCCGAAACCCGGUGAUCUAGCCAUGGGCAGGAAGAAGGUUGGGUAACACUAACUGGAGGGCCGAACCGACUACUGUUGAAAAAGUAGCGGAUGACCUGUGGCUGGGGGUGAAAGGCCAAUCAAACCGGGAGAUAGCUGGUUCUCCCCGAAAUCUAUUUAGGUAGAGCCUUAUAUGAAUACCUUCGGGGGUAGAGCACUGUUUCGGCUAGGGGUCCAUCCCGGAUUACCAACCCGAUGCAAACUGCGAAUACCGAAGAGUAAUGUAUAGGAGACACACGGCGGGUGCUAACGUUCGUCGUGGAGAGGGAAACAACCCAGACCGCCAGCUAAGGUCCCGAAGUCUAUAUUAAGUGGGAAACGAAGUGGAAAGGCUUAGACAGCUAGGAUGUUGGCUUAGAAGCAGCCAUCAUUUAAAGAAAGCGUAAUAGCUCACUAGUCGAGUCGGUCUGCGCGGAAGAUGUAACGGGGCUAAAAUAUAGCACCGAAGCUGCGGCAUCAGGCGUAUCACACAUACGCCUUACGAUUAACACCUUGCGGAGCAAGGUGGUCAAGCGACUUACACGUUGAGGUGUGAGCGGGAGGGAUAAUCGAAGAGAGGAAUAUGUGUGAUACGUCUGUUGGGUAGGGGAGCGUUGUGUAAGCUGAAGAAGGUGGUUCGAGAGGGCUGCUGGAGGUAUCACAAGUGCGAAUGCUGACAUAAGUAACGAUAAAGCGGGUGAAAGGCCCGCUCGCCGGAAGACCAAGGUUUCCUGUCCAACGUUAAUCGGGGCAGGGUGAGUCGGCCCCUAAGGCGAGGCUGAGAAGCGUAGUCGAUGGGAAAUGGGUUAAUAUUCCCAUACUUGGAUAAACUGCGAUGUGGGGACGGAGCAGGUUAGGUUAGCGUACGGAUGGAAGAGUACGUUUAAGUUGGUAGGUGGGGUGUUUAGGCAAAUCCGGGCACCUGAUAACACUGAGAGAUGAUGACGAGGCUCUACGGAGCUGAAGUAACUGAUACCCAACUUCCAGGAAAAGCCACUAAGCUUCAGGUUUAUCUAAACCGUACUGGAAACCGACACAGGUGGUCAGGUAGAGAAUACUAAGGCGCUUGAGAGAACUCGGGUGAAGGAACUAGGCAAAAUAGCACCGUAACUUCGGGAGAAGGUGCGCUGGCGUAGUGUGAAGUUCUUCGCGAAUGGAGCAUGAACCAGUCGAAGCGACGAGCUGGCUGCAACUGUUUAAUAAAAACACAGCACUCUGCAAACACGAAAGUGGACGUAUAGGGUGUGAUGCCUGCCCGGUGCUGGAAGGUUAAUUGAUGGUGUCAUCGAAAGAGAAGCACCUGAUCGAAGCCCCAGUAAACGGCGGCCGUAACUAUAACGGUCCUAAGGUAGCGAAAUUCCUUGUCGGGUAAGUUCCGACCUGCACGAAUGGCAUAAUGAUGGCCAGGCUGUCUCCACCCGAGACUCAGUGAAAUUGAAAUCGCCGUGAAGAUGCGGUGUACCCGCGGCUAGACGGAAAGACCCCGUGAACCUUUACUAUAGCUUGACACUGAACCUUGAAUUUUAAUGUGUAGGAUAGGUGGGAGACUAAGAAGCGGUAACGCCAGUUAUCGUGGAGUCGGUGUUGAAAUACCACCCUUUAACGUUUGAUGUUCUAACGAGGCGCCUGGGACAGGUGUUCGGACAGUGUCUGGUGGGUAGUUUGACUGGGGCGGUCUCCUCCCAAAGCGUAACGGAGGAGCACGAAGGUUGGCUAAUGACGGUCGGACAUCGUCAGGUUAGUGCAAUGGUAGAAGCCAGCUUAACUGCGAGACGGACAAGUCGAGCAGGUACGAAAGUAGGUCAUAGUGAUCCGGUGGUUCUGAAUGGAAGGGCCAUCGCUCAACGGAUAAAAGGUACUCCGGGGAUAACAGGCUGAUACCGCCCAAGAGUUCAUAUCGACGGCGGUGUUUGGCACCUCGAUGUCGGCUCAUCACAUCCUGGGGCUGAAGUAGGUCCCAAGGGUAUGGCUGUUCGCCAUUUAAAGUGGUACGCGAGCUGGGUUUAGAACGUCGUGAGACAGUUCGGUCCCUAUCUGCCGUGGGCGUUGGAGGAUUGAGGGGGGUUGCUCCUAGUACGAGAGGACCGGAGUGAACGCACCGCUGGUGUUCCAGUUGUUUCGCCAGAAGCAUUGCUGGGUAGCUAAGUGCGGAAGAGAUAAGUGCUGAAAGCAUCUAAGCACGAAACUUGCCCCGAGAUGAGUUCUCCCUGACAAAGAGUCAGUAAGGGUUGUUGAAGACGACGACGUAGAUAGGUGGGGUGUGUAAGCGGUGUGAGCCGUUGAGCUAACCCAUACUAAUUGCCCGAGAGGCUUAACUAU
rnacentral:rRNA from 1 species